GACGAACGCUGGCGGCGUGCUUAACACAUGCAAGUCGAACGGAAAGGCCCCGCUUUUGUGGGGUGCUCGAGUGGCGAACGGGUGAGUAACACGUGAGUAACCUGCCCUUGACUUUGGGAUAACUUCAGGAAACUGGGGCUAAUACCGGAUAGGAGCUCCUGCUGCAUGGUGGGGGUUGGAAAGUUUCGGCGGUUGGGGAUGGACUCGCGGCUUAUCAGCUUGUUGGUGGGGUAGUGGCUUACCAAGGCUUUGACGGGUAGCCGGCCUGAGAGGGUGACCGGCCGCAUUGGGACUGAGAUACGGCCCAGACUCCUACGGGAGGCAGCAGUGGGGAAUAUUGCACAAUGGGCGGAAGCCUGAUGCAGCAACGCCGCGUGCGGGAUGACGGCCUUCGGGUUGUAAACCGCUUUCGCCUGUGACGAAGCGUGAGUGACGGUAAUGGGUAAAGAAGCACCGGCUAACUACGUG
rnacentral:rRNA from 1 species